AACAACGUACGCACUGAGAAGCCGGGCAGAUGAGAAUAUGCACCGUUCUUCUUCCCUAGCAUUAGCUAUGGCGUUCCUAGCUAUCGUUUACUGUUUCAUGCCGUCGCCAUGCUCAGCAGCGGUCCAAGAAGGUGUAGCUGUUCUGGACGGAUCCCGUACGCAAAUCAUUGGUCCUCGGUCGCCGAGGUACGGGCCGCCGAGGCAGCCAGGCUAUGAGCCACCGGCCGCUGCCGCCACUUAUGCCACACCGUAAGACCAUGUAGGUGGCUGCCAAGGCUCCUCAUGCAUAAAGCAGGCCGAAAAUCAGAGUGUAUACAGUGAUAAAUAAAAUCCAGACGAUUAACUACUGAGAAGUUGUGAUAUUAAUUAUUAGUUGUAAAAGUUAUGAAUAAAGCUAUGUUGUUAUGUUCG